rnacentral:rRNA from 1 species
CACAUGCAAGUCGAACGGGAUGCUUAGGCAUCUAGUGGCGGACGGGUGAGUAACGCGUGAGAAUCUGGCUCCAGGUCGGGGAUAACAGUUGGAAACGACUGCUAAUACCGGAUGUGCCGAGAGGUGAAAGAUUUAUUGCCUGGAGAUGAGCUCGCGUCUGAUUAGCUAGUUGGUGGUGUAAGGGACCACCAAGGCGUCGAUCAGUAGCUGGUCUGAGAGGAUGAUCAGCCACACUGGGACUGAGACACGGCCCAGACUCCUACGGGAGGCAGCAGUGGGGAAUUUUCCGCAAUGGGCGAAAGCCUGACGGAGCAAUACCGCGUGAGGGAGGAAGGCUCUUGGGUCGUAAACCUCUUUUCUCAAGGAAGAAGAAAGUGACGGUACUUGAGGAAUAAGCAUCGGCUAACUCCGUGCCAGCAGCCGCGGUAAUACGGAGGAUGCAAGCGUUAUCCGGAAUGAUUGGGCGUAAAGGGUCUGCAGGUGGAACUGAAAGUCUGCUGUUAAAGAGUUUGGCUUAACCAAAUAAAAGCGGUGGAAACUACAGAACUAGAGUGCGGUAGGGGCAAAAGGAAUUCCUGGUGUAGCGGUGAAAUGCGUAGAUAUCAGGAAGAACACCGGUGGCGAAAGCGUUUUGCUAGACCGUAACUGACACUGAGGGACGAAAGCUAGGGGAGCGAAUGGGAUUAGAUACCCCAGUAGUCCUAGCCGUAAACGAUGGAUACUAGGCGUGGCUUGUAUCGACCCGAGCCGUGCCGGAGCUAACGCGUUAAGUAUCCCGCCUGGGGAGUACGCACGCAAGUGUGAAACUCAAAGGAAUUGACGGGGGCCCGCACAAGCGGUGGAGUAUGUGGUUUAAUUCGAUGCAACGCGAAGAACCUUACCAAGACUUGACAUCCUGCGAAUCCUGGUGAAAGCUGGGAGUGCCUUAGGGAGCGCAGAGACAGGUGGUGCAUGGCUGUCGUCAGCUCGUGUCGUGAGAUGUUGGGUUAAGUCCCGCAACGAGCGCAACCCUCGUUUUUAGUUGCCAGCAUUAAGUUGGGCACUCUAGAGAGACUGCCGGUGACAAACCGGAGGAAGGUGAGGAUGACGUCAAGUCAGCAUGCCCCUUACGUCUUGGGCUACACACGUACUACAAUGCUACGGACAGAGGGCAGCGAGCCAGGGAUGGCAAGCGAAUCCAGAAACCGUAGCUCAGUUCAGAUCGAAGGCUGCAACUCGCCUUCGUGAAGGAGGAAUCGCUAGUAAUUGCAGGUCAGCAUACUGCAGUGAAUUCGUUCCCGGGCCUUGUACACACCGCCCGUCACACCAUGGAAGUUGGUCACGCCCGAAGUCAUUACCCCAACCGAAAGGAGGGGGAUGCCUAAGGUAGGACUG